CGACGUUGAUUAUGCCGAGGCAGCUUAAGCCAAGGCACAGUCGUCCUGACUGGUAACGGUCAGGAGUAUCACCGGGUGAAUUGCUGGAAAACCCUUUAGAGCCCUUCAUACCACAACGCAGCCGGAAACGGCAAACGUGAUGGUUUAAAAAAUGAAAGGAUUGGGCAAUCAGCAGCCGAGCCCCUGGACUGAAAGGUUGGGGAAGGUUCAACGACUAGGGCAUACCACCUAAGCCAUAAGGUAUGGUGAUGAAGCCCGUAGAGCACCGAAUGGUGUUCGAAGUGCCCGGCCCUUAACAGGUAAAGCUGAGGGUGAAGAUAUAGUCUGGUCAACAGGGAAACCUGUUG
rnacentral:ncRNA from 1 species